GACAGAGGCCUCGAGCGUUAGGCGGAAUCACUGGGCUUAAAGCGUGUGUAGGCGGGCCCGUAAGUGUCUUGUGAAAUCCCACGGCUCAACCGUGGAACUGCUGGGCAUACUGCGGGUCUUGGGCCAACUAGGGGCAGCCGGAACAAGCGGUGGAGCGGUGAAAUGCGUAGAUAUCGCUUGGAACGCCGAAGGUGAAAGCAGGCUGCUGGGGUUGCGCCGACGCUGAGACACGAAAGCCAGGGGAGCAAACGGG
rnacentral:rRNA from 1 species